AUACAGUAGUUUUUAUCUGUUAAUCCCAAACUCCUAAUGUAUCCCUCUUCCCUCUUCCCCCUUUAGUAACCAUCAGCUGGUUUUCUGUGCCUGUGAGCCUUAGAGAUGAUCACACUAGCAGACUUUUGAAGAGAACGGCACCUGCUCUCGGCCUGCGGUCCCAGGCCACAGGGUGUGGCUGUUUCAGUGCCAGCGUGUCGACCGCCAUGUGGAUGUCGCUGGCGUAGGCUGGGUUUUUCCACCGUUAACUGGACGAGAACUUGUUCCUUACAUACACUUUUGCUUGUACAAGUGCUGGCUUCUGCCCACACGAGCAACUCCAAACCCCAAACUCACCUCAGAACUUCUUUGAACUAGUUUUCCACCUUAAAUGAUGCUACCUUUUCAUGUAAACCCUGGGCUGUUGUCUUUACUACUCCAUUGCCUGAAGAAAAAGUUACCUUAAAGUAUUUUUCCUGCCACAUCAGCUAUAAGGCUGUAAUGAGACUUCGGGAGGGGCAGCUAAAAAGACAAUACCUGAUGGCAGUUAAGAAAGGAUUUUAUCGACGUGGUGAUCACUCAGUCACCUGAAAACAACUCCACUGAAGCGCCUUGGUGUGGCCGCAUCACGUGCCCUUCCAACUGCUCUCUGCACUUCAUAUCACCUGGACCCCUGUCACCUCAGCGGAACUGGCAAAACUGUCAGGGGCAGCACCGUAAUUGUGGCCACCUAAUUUUUAUCCAUGUGCUUAAUUGCUCCGGCCAUUGGCACCAUAUGUGUCAGCCCACAAGGAACAACGUCAGUAUCAUUUGCUGCAACAUGAUCCUCGCUCCAGGUGGUUUCAUGGCAAGAUGAACAAAGGCGUUGUGCAACAGUCAUAAGCGCUGAGAAGUCUGAUGUUACGUUUUGAACAUGGAUGUGACUCUUUGGGAAGUGUAAACCCUUCAACCCACUUCCCAGCUUUGACAAUGAUGGGCCAAUGUCCGGCUUGAACAAGCUAGAAUGGGCCUGCGGGGGUGAUCCUGAAGAAGUUCAGGAAGGCCUGAGAAAGAUGGCUGCACACUAGGGGGACAGUCAUGCCUACCUCCCCUUUUAUUGUAUUGUACCCUCCGUUUGGGGAUUAAGAAAUGCAGCAAAUGGAGUCCCUUCUGCUGUGUGUGAGGCACCGAGAGAGGUGUUGAAGUCACAGAAAUGGGUAAAAUGGAUCCUGACUGCAAGAAAAUCACAAUCUGGUAGAGCAAGCUGGCUUGUAAGUGACUAAUGCCAAAGUGGGUUUUGAAGAUCAAUAAGUCCUUUGCAGUGCUGCCAAAAGCCAGCAAAUGUGCCAAGUCAUAAACUGUCGGAGGAGUAACUACAGGAAGGCUGCCAGGUCCGAGGCGGCUGCCUGGCCGCCUGGCUGCCACUGACCUCGCGGCGGUGUGGAGCUGGAGCCGGAGCUGUAAAUCUUCGCCUUGUCGCUGCUGCAGGGAGACUUGGCCUCGCGGGCAACAUACAGAGCAAUGCCUCUCUUAAGUGUAACAUUUACAAAAUAUGGACCCUGCUUGAUGCUUCUGAACUUGAAAUGUGAACUUUUUGAAGAGGAGUGAUGUUGAAGAUCCGAUGGUGUCUACUUUACUUUUUUUUGGAGUAUUUUUAUUGUAUUAAAAUGUUUUUCCUCCCGCAUUAUUGAUAUAAUUGACAUACGGCACUGUCCAGGUGGAAGGUGUACAGCAUAGUGAUUUGACAUACAUGCAUCAUGAAAUGAUUAGCACAUUUUAGUUUAGUGAACAUCCAUCAUCUCAUGUGGAUGCAUCACUAAAGAAAUAGAAAACAAAUUUUUUAAAAUUAUUAAACAAUUUUUUUCCUCAUCCAAAAACACCCCCUGUAGAUUUAGCACACCUUGUGACAUUUGGAUUAUCCAGAAGGAGUUUGUUGGAAAUCACGAAGUUAGGUGACAGCCCAGCCCAGUUGGUGCCUGUGGAGCAUUUAGCAUUCAUUUCGGGGCUGAACAUGUCAGUACUCUUGACACAGCUAUGGAACUCAAUCAACUGGUGGCCUGAGGGAACACUUUACCAUUACAAUUUGUUACUGAUACAACUCACGGGACAGAUGCUCAUUAUAAGACAGAGAGUUAAUGAGGCCAAGGAUCUCUGUUCAGUGCCUCUAGGGACCAGAGGCUUUGUUUUGUUCCAAGGCUGCCUCCACAACCCAUAACCUUUGCCAGCUGUCACACACCAGGGCGUGCUCUUUGUCACACGGGGGCCCAGAAGGGAGGCUGUGAGCCGCUGAGCCCAGGUGCAUCACCACUUAGGAGAAAUGAAGCUGGAGCCACGCGCUCCUCAGAGAGGUCACCUGCAACAACUGAGUAAGUGGCGAACAGUCCAUUUCGUUGCCUGGGCCGAGGGCUGUCACCACGUGUUGUGGUUCUAUGCGGCCAGUGGCUGGGCAUGGUUGGCUGAAGACGAGCUCGCCAUAUUUGCUGAACAUGGAGUCACUCCAAAGCCCUGAUUCUAGCAAAAUACUCAACAUACAGAAUUCAAAGUGGACUUGGGCCUAUUACAACAGCUUACCCCUUCCAGAAACCCCCUUUUGCUAAACCCAUAUAUUUCAGAUUAUUCCAGUACUACCUAGGAACAUUCUUCAAAUAAUAGAGUGGUAAAUUUUCUUUCUGGCAAGCCUCACCUUGAUCUGCAUUAUCAUUUAGACCCCUUCUGAAAACACCAUUCAUUUCAAUAAGCAAUAGAGACUGAAAUAAAAUUCCAUUCAUGCUUUACUCUCCAAUGUGGUUUGGAAAUGCUUUCUUCUUCAGCCAGUCUUAUGUUACAUGCUGGAUGGUCUUUUCUUUGACCACCUCAUAAA